CAGGAGUUUAUGAUUUCAAUAAGAGCUUUGAAUCCCAAUCUACCACCACCUCCAUGGGAGCCCGUAAGUUAAAUAUCUCUUUAUUCCAUAAAAAUUUUACAAGUCAUUUAUGCCUUAAACUUUAAUUCUUAUAUAUGUAUCACGUGUUUGUAGGUAUCGCAUGCACCCCGGUGUCAACGUGAUGAAGAUGAGGCUUUUAAUGAAAAUAUGUGGGA
rnacentral:lncRNA from 1 species